AAUGCUCUGCAGGACUCAGGAGUGAGGCUGCUCUCAGAUGCACUGAGGAGCCCAAACUGUCAGCUGAAGAUACUGAGAUUGCAGGAAUGUAAACUCACUGGUCAGAGCUGUGAAUUUGUGGCAUCAGUUCUACGGUCAUCAGACUCUCGUCUAAUAGAUCUAAACAUGAGUCACAAUGAGCUGCAGGAUUCAGGAGUGAAGAUACUCUCUGAUGGACUGAAGAGCCCAAACUGUCAGCUGGAAAAACUGAGUUUACCGUGGUGUGAGGUGAGAGAUGAAGGUUGUCGUUUUCUGGCUUCAGCUCUGCAUUCAAACCCUUCACACCUGAGAGAACUGUAUCUGAGCUAUAAUUACUCUGAAAAAUCAGGACUCAAGAUGCUCUCUGAUCUACUGAACGAUCCAAACUACGCACUGAACAAACUCGAGUAAGAUUCAUCUUAUCCUGUAUUCAGUCUAACCAUCUACAGAUAUUCAGUGAAGUGAAAUGUUAUUUAGAAGAGUCUGAGAUAGGGCUUUAGGAUAUGCAGGAAAAAGUAAAGUGAACCAAAGUCUUUGUUCCUACAAUGCAAGUAAAUGGUAACUAUAACUGUUUGGUUACCAAUGUUUAUCAAAAUAUAUUUUGUUCAGAAGAAAGUUUCUGUUUCACUGUCAGAAACACACAUAACAACUGAAUAAAACAGGUCAUACCAUCAUGUCCAACAGAUCCUUUCUAGUGAAAAAAUAAUAGAGAAAGUGCUGAGUAUGAAAUCAUUUAAAGCCCGUGACUACAGAUAUUGUUACAGGUCUGGUCUUGGGUCAAGAUGACACCAUAAAUAAAUAAACAAAUAUAAGAACA